rnacentral:sRNA from 1 species
AAUAAUUGGAUUGAGGAGAAGACAAGAACCGGGAAGAAGGUGAAGGAAGGAGUGUGUUGUAUUUUCACACCUCAUAUGUGCUCCUCAAUGAAUUAUGCAUAUUAUAGUGUUAGAUAUUUAAUAACUUUAUGUAGAUUGGCUAUUCACCAAAUUCACCCUUUAAAAAACAAAUCAUUCUAUGUUGGUU